UACAGAGGUCCCAAGCGUUGUUCGGAUUUACUGGGCGUAAAGGGUGCGUAGGUGGCGGGGUAAGUCUGGUGUGAAAGCUUCGAGCUCAACUCGGAAAAGCAUUGGAAACUAUCCCGCUGGAGGGUCGGAGGGGAGACUGGAAUUCUCGGUGUAGCAGUGAAAUGCGUAGAUAUCGAGAGGAACACCAGUGGCGAAGGCGAGUCUCUGGACGACUCCUGACACUGAGGCACGAAAGCUAGGGGAGCAAACAGG
rnacentral:rRNA from 1 species